GGCCUAACCGCCGACAGGAUCAGACGUGCUCCGUCUGAGCUCCUGCUUCUGGGCCGGAAUGUCGGUGCCAACUAGGUACCAAAUGCAACCACUGACCCAUACUGGUGCCCACAGCGACCCCCAGCAGCUGGGGUUCAUGGGGAUACCACUCAAGACCCUGUCUGGCAUUCCAAAGUAACCCGACAAGGCCCGAAGCGCUCUGGAGCUUGAUCCGGGUAGGGAAGGCCGCUCUCCCGGGUCUCCGACCAGUGUCUCGCUUACCCCUCCCCCCCCUGGACCGGCGGGGUUAUCCCGGUCCCUACCCAGUGGCCACGGCAACCACAGGACCACCAAGACCCAGCAGCAUUGCUACCACAAUCAGCAGCCUAAGCAUCACACCAAAGAUGGCGGACACCAUGCGUGCCGAAGGCAAUGAGGGGGCCAGCAACAACAACCCAACGCUCCCAACACAAACAGCUUACAGGUACAAACUAGCCUGCUACCCACAACAGUCAAGGAUAAACCCCCAGCAAGGCGCCCUGGCACGAUACUUACCAUUGGGGACACAAUCUUGGACUUCAACUUUAGCUCCAGGGCAGGCCCGAAACGGGAGGGUGAAACAGAGGCACAGCAAACCAGCACACACACCACACUGGAACACACCGCAGACACACAGGCGAACACCUACACCCCAGACAUGCAGGGGAGCCGGUCUCCCAUACAAAGAGCCUCACUCGACAGAAGACUGAACACCGCUUUACCACCAGCACAGAAAAAGACUCAAAGCACAGAGACAGCCGGUUCGCAGCAUGACCUCCCAUCACCCUUAGAGGGCUUCAGCACAGCGUAGAAAUAAGCAUCUGUCCAGCUCCACAACCCUACCGUCACCUCACCAGUGGUACACAUGGAAGUGAUGGACAAUGCUAUUAAGGCAAAGUGUGGCAUGGGAUAACGGCAAUUACAGAGCUCCAUGAAGCCGGACACAGCGGGAUAAUAAACUCCCUUGUCUGCCUCGACAUGUCUAUUGCAGCAACAAGCAGACCAUAAAAACGGAUGCUAUUUGACACACCAGAGUAUCCUGGAAUAUAACUGUAUUAUGUAUAAUGUUUUUGCCUAGCUUAGCUUAAAUUUAACAUGCAAUAUAUGGUAGGGAUACCAUAUUAAGUGUGCAUACAUCACUGCCUCCCUGAAUGGGUUUAGCUUGCCUCUUGGUCACACAUACACCACACCACCCUGUUAAAGAUGUGCAACUAGUUUUUUAAGAUGGCCACCUUGCCAGGUGCAGUCCUAUCAUCCUGUAACCCACUGGUUUAAACUUUAAUUGCAUCACUCUAUACAUGUCAGUACUGAAUAGCAAUGUCAGAUACCUAUCUGUAUGUUUAAACAUGGUUAAUAUCUUCUCAUUUAAAAAAAUGUGCAUAUAAUCUUUCAUACUUCUUUGAUGCAAGCAAUGAAUAUAAGCGUGAGGUUUUUUCGUCGGGGUACCCCACGCGUUUUGUACUGUUUUUAAUGCACUGCAAAAAUUAAA